rnacentral:sRNA from 2 species
AACCCCCAGCUAGGCUGGGGGUUCCGGAAAGCUUUCAGCUUUAAGUCAGUUAUUAAAACCCCUUUUGAUUUGUUAAAAC